rnacentral:sRNA from 1 species
AGGGGGUGGUGAGUAUUCCUAGCCCUGGACACCUUCUAUGGGGUGGGCCGUGGGAUGAGGGACAGAGGAAGAGGCCGCCUAGAGCCAUCCUUCAGGCCCUUGCUCUGCCACCGCCUGUUACCCCACUUCCCCUGUGUUACUCAAGAAACAGCUGUGGCGACGCACGCUUCCUGCCCCCCAUCCCUUCCUCCGUCCCUGCCCUCCCCCGUCUACCAUCUGCUCAGUGCCCAGGCUGGCCCACAGCCAGUGCCCAGUGGGUAAAACGCUCAAAUGAAAUAGCCACUGAAUGGGGCCCUUGGUGGCCGGGUGGGGUGGCUGGGGUGGGUGGCCAGUGCAGCCACAGGCCCUCACAUACAGUCCUGUCUGUGUGUCCCGUGGAAGCGCUACGUGGAUGGUGGCAUUUCAGACAACCUGCCACUCUAUGAGCUUAAGAACACCAUCACAGUGUCCCCCUUCUCGGGCGAGAGUGACAUCUGUCCGCAGGACAGCUCCACCAACAUCCACGAGCUGCGGGUCACCAACACCAGCAUCCAGUUCAACCUGCGCAACCUCUACCGCCUCUCCAAGGCCCUCUUCCCGCCAGAGCCCCUGGUGCUGCGAGAGAUGUGCAAGCAGGGAUACCGGGAUGGCCUGCGCU